rnacentral:misc_RNA from 1 species
UUAAGUCGUACAAGGUAACCGUACCGGAAGGUGCGGCUGGAUCACCUCCUUUCUAAGGAGCACCACGAAAAACACCCCAACUGGUGGGGUGUAAGCCGUGCGGGGUUCUCGUCUGUAGUGGACGGGGGCCGGGUGCGCAACAGCGGAUAAAUCGCCAGACACACUAUUGGGCCCUGAGGCAACACCCGGCUUGUCUGUGGAUGUUGUCCCACCAUCUUGGUGGUGGGGUGUGGUGUUUGAGAAUUGGAUAGUGGUUGCGAGCAUCAAAUGGAUGCGCUGCCCGUAACGGUGGCGUGUUCUUUUGUGCAAUUUUAUUCUUUGGUUUUUGUAGUGUUUGUAAGUGUCUAAGGGCGCAUGGUGGAU